GAUGAACGCUCGCUACAGGCUUAACACAUGCAAGUCGAGGGGAAACGACAUCGAAAGCUUGCUUUUGAUGGGCGUCGACCGGCGCACGGGUGAGUAACGCGUAUCCAACCUGCCCACCACUUGGGGAUAACCUUGCGAAAGUAAGACUAAUACCCAAUGAUAUCUCUAGAAGACAUCUGAAAGAGAUUAAAGAUUUAUCGGUGAUGGAUGGGGAUGCGUCUGAUUAGCUUGUUGGCGGGGUAACGGCCCACCAAGGCAACGAUCAGUAGGGGUUCUGAGAGGAAGGUCCCCCACAUUGGAACUGAGACACGGUCCAAACUCCUACGGGAGGCAGCAGUGAGGAAUAUUGGUCAAUGGACGAGAGUCUGAACCAGCCAAGUAGCGUGCAGGAAGACGGCCCUAUGGGUUGUAAACUGCUUUUAGAAGGGAAUAAAGUGAGUCUCGUGAGACUUUUUGCAUGUACCUUAUGAAUAAGGACCGGCUAAUUCCGUG
rnacentral:rRNA from 1 species